rnacentral:tRNA from 7 species
GGGCUUAUAGCUCAGCUGGUUAGAGCGCACGCCUGAUAAGCGUGAGGUCGAUGGUUCGAGUCCAUUUAAGCCCAUCA